CUGGUGCUAAUACCGCAUGAUACCUGAGGGUCAAAGGCGCAAGUCGCCUGUGGAGGAGCCUGCGUUCGAUUAGCUUGUUGGUGGGGUAAAGGCCUACCAAGGCGAUGAUCGAUAGCUGGUCUGAGAGGAUGAUCAGCCACACUGGGACUGAGACACGGCCCAGACUCCUACGGGAGGCAGCAGUGGGGAAUAUUGGACAAUGGGCGAAAGCCUGAUCCAGCAAUGCCGCGUGUGUGAAGAAGGUCUUCGGAUUGUAAAGCACUUUCGACGGGGACGAUGAUGACGGUACCCGUAGAAGAAGCCCCGGCUAACUUCGUGCCAGCAGCCGCGGUAAUACGAAGGGGGCUAGCGUUGCUCGGAAUGACUGGGCGUAAAGGGCGCGUAGGCGGUU
rnacentral:rRNA from 1 species